rnacentral:rRNA from 1 species
UACAGAGGCCUCGAGCGUUAGGCGGAAUCACUGGGCUUAAAGCGUGUGUAGGUGGAUGCCUAAGUACCUUGUGAAAUCCCACGGCUUAACCGUGGAACUGCUGGGUAUACUGGGCGGUCUUGAGCCACUCAGGGGCUACCGGAACAAGCGGUGGAGCGGUGAAAUGCGUAGAUAUCGCUUGGAACGCCAAUGGUGAAAACGAGGUAGCUGG